ACUUGGGUAUAGGGGCGAA
rnacentral:ncRNA from 2 species